AAGUCGUAACAAGGUAACCGUAGGUGAACCUGCGGUUGGAUCAUUAAAAAAAAUUGAAGCUUCAACCCUUUCAAGGGUAGAAGCGUCAGUGCUCCUCUAACAAGGAGCUUGACUACUCCAAUUUUGUGAACUUGCAACCAAAAAAUGUUUUGAUAGUGGUGAAAGAUUUGGGCAUUACCAGCCCAAGUUUUUCCCUUCUUGAAAAAAUUGUUAACCCUGAAGAAAUAACUUGUCUUUACCAUUUUUUAUAAAUAAAAAUUAAUAAACAACUUUUGACAACGGAUCUCUAGGCUCUC
rnacentral:misc_RNA from 1 species